UACGGAGGGUGCGAGCGUUGUCCGGAAUCACUGGGCGUAAAGGGCGCGUAGGCGGCGCGGGCAGUCAACGGUGAAAGCUUGGGGCUCAACCCCGAGUCGGCCGUCGAUACUCCCGUGCUGGGGCACUGUAGAGGCAGGUGGAAUUCCGGGUGUAGCGGUGGAAUGCGUAGAGAUCCGGAAGAACACCGGUGGCGAAGGCGGCCUGCUGGGCAGUAGCUGACGCUGAUGCGCGACAGCGUGGGGAGCAAACAGG
rnacentral:rRNA from 1 species